rnacentral:tRNA from 2 species
GCCCGGAUAGCUCAGUCGUAGAGCAGGGGAUUGAAAAUCCCCGUGUCCUUGGUUCGAUUCCGAGUCCGGGCACCA